rnacentral:lncRNA from 1 species
GCAGGGCUGUGCCUGGAGACAGACAGGAUCAGGAGGGGGCUGCAGACAGAGUGCGGGGUGAGGACUCAGAGAAGGAGGGUUUCUUAGUGGGGAGUUGGGGGAGGUGGGAGGGGACCCCGGCAGACCCGGGGGGGGGGGGAGGCUAGGAUUUGUAUUUGAACGUCAGCCAUUUAACAGCCCCCACCAGGCGCCCCGGGAACGCGGAGCUUUCCUGGCUCAGAAUUUAUUUCCAAUCUGCGUCUACGGUGUCA